rnacentral:rRNA from 1 species
UACGGAGGGGGCUAGCGUUGUUCGGAAUUACUGGGCGUAAAGCGCACGUAGGCGGACCAGCAAGUUAGGGGUGAAAUCCCGGGGCUCAACCCCGGAACUGCCUUUAAAACUGUUGGUCUGGAGGUCGAGAGAGGUGAGUGGAAUUCCGAGUGUAGAGGUGAAAUUCGUAGAUAUUCGGAGGAACACCAGUGGCGAAGGCGACUUCCUGGCCUGCUCUUGACGCUGAGGCGCGAAAGCUAGGGGAGCAAACGGG